ACCACCGGCUGGGCCUUCUGGGUCCCCGGCGCGGGUAGGUCGCGCUGGUUCCGUGGAACAGCGGCUGGUGAAGGCCCCGUGGCGGCCUCCAUGCCCAAGACCUCCGGGCCUAGAGAGGUAAGGGUGGAUCUGCAGAGACUGAGUAUGAGGAUUUCUGGCAUGUGACUCAGUCCUCAUUGCUCCUGGCUCCCCAUUCUGCCCUCUUUGGAAUCUGCUGGCCCUGAGAGAUCUGUGAAAAGAGGAGAAAAUGGCCCCAGCGUUCCUGGCAGCAAGACCCUCAG